rnacentral:rRNA from 1 species
CCAGCAGCUGCGGUAAUUCCGGCUCCAAUAGCGUCUAUUAAAGUUGUUGCAGUUAAAAAGCUCUUAGUCUGAUGUAAUGGGGACUGGUGGGGGGAGCAGCAAUGCUCUUUGCUUCGGUCUUCAUCAACGGGACAGCAAUGUCCCAUUUUACUUUGAGGAAAUUAGAGUGUUGAAAGCAGGCGAUUGCUUGAAUACUGCAGCAUGGAAUAAUGGAAUAGGACUCGCGUCUUAUUUUGUUGGUUUGGAGAUGUGAGUAAUGAUGAAUAGGGACAGUUGGGGGCAUUGGUAUUCAGUAGUCAGAGGUGAAAUUCUUGGAUUUACUGAAGACUAACUAGUGCGAAAGCAUUUGCCAAGGAGGUUUUCAUUGAUCAAGAACGAAAGU